CAGCUUCCACUGUAAAUAAAUAGAAGCCUGGCAUUGGCGGAAUCAUGGUCGACGCGAUGAUAAUGAUGGAUCAUACUUGGUUCCAAGUAAUUGAGUGUAAGUCUGGCCCAGAUCACACAUACAGUGCCUGUGCCCAAAAAACAAAAGUACCCCGCAUAAACGAGGAAGCAAGAGGGCAAUAUCAACUCCCACAAGAAAAACACCUAAACAUGAACAUAAAAGGAUUAAACUGGAUGAAAAAAACAGACACAACAAAUGGUCCAUCAAAGAGAAAUCUUUUCUGAAAGAAUACAGUCAGAAAUUACGAAAAGAUGGCGAGUCAGAAAACAGUUUCUGGAACAACUGUGCAAUUGCCAUGAACAACAUGUUUGGUGGAAAAAACAGAACAGGUUGCAGCUCUCCAAGAGAAGUUGCAGGGCAUAUAUUGUCUUCUUCAUUGAGAGGAAGUAUCGUUGUAGAACUUUUAAAUGAAAUUGAAUAUGCAGCAAAAGAAUGCUACAACAAGGACAGUGUUUUAGCCCAAAAGGAUGUCUGUGACCUGGCUGAAUUUAAAUGGCAUGAACUCAUUGAUGAACUAUUAGAGCAACAGCCACUGCUAGCUGAUGUUCUCUUGGCUGUGUCUCUACCAACCUCUAAGAUAGGGAAUACAAAAUCUGUUCAGAGACUAAUACUUGUCAUAUCUGCUGUGUUUGGAAUGUUGAUGAAUACAGGAUACCAGGAGUUGUCGUUACAACUUGUUAGUUCAAAUGAUAAUCGCAAUGACUUUAGCUAAAGAACAAACAUGCCCAAAAUUACAUUUAGUUUCAACUGUGUUUCUUUUUUUCUUCAAAUGUUUUGUUUAAGCCCAAAAACACAAAAUAUGACUUAACACCUUGUUUAUAGAAUGGAAUAUUGUAAAGUGUGCAAUUUAUAUUUAAUCAUUUUAUGAGUAACUCAAGAGAAAAUUUCAUUAAAGAGUUGCCAAACUCAGCUGUGAAUGAUUGUUUGUUUUAUAAAAUAUUCAAUGUAUGUAUUUUAAAUAUAUCUUUAUAUGUUUUACAGGGUUUUUUAUCCACUUUUUGGGAAGAUAGCCCAUGGCUUUGGAAUUGGGAAUUUUAUCUGCAUUUUCAUGAAAUUGGGAAAAUAAAUUCAUUAGCCUUUUUUUCACAUGAAAAGUCCACUGAUUAGGGAAAUACUAAAUUUGAUAUAACUCUUUAUAAUCAUUCAAAUUAAAAGAACAAAAUCAUAUAAUACUUUGUUAGAUGUAAUUGAAUUAAAAUUGAGAUAAAAUAUGCAUAAGACACUUCUUUCUAAAAAAAAUAUUAUUUUUUUUUGAAAAUUGGGAAUUUUUUGCCACAUUUUGGGAAAAAAGUAUACUUUUUGGGAUUGGGAACAUAGCUUAAUUUCGGCUAUAAAAUCAGGCCAAAAAAAACCUGGUUUUAAAUAUUUCACAAUAUCUUAAUACACAUACAGUAAAAAAACAUACCAGGUAAAAAAAAAAAAUCUUUCUUAGCCAGAAAUUAGCAAUAUACAUGUAUAGUUUCUUGCAAUUUGAUAAAAAAACAGUAUUAAACAUUAAAAUGUGUACUAUUUUCUAAACCUCAAGUUUGUGAAAUUGGGCAUUUGAAUGUUUAUGUCACUGUUCAUGACACAUGUUUUGUUUGGAAAUUAAAUAAAUCUUUUGGAACAUCUAUUUAAUAGCGCUGACCCAGGCUCUUAAGGUCCUUGAUGUUUUAGCUCACCUGAGCUCAGAUGAGCUCAUAGGAUCGAUGAAUGUCUGUUGUCCGUCCUUCUUUUAACUCCCCUUUGGGUUUUUUUUCUGCUCAUAGAUCGAGAAACUUGGUCAUGAUGAUCGUUUGGAGAAAUUGUAGGUCAAGUUCAAAGACGGGUCAUCAGGGGUCAAAAACUAGGUCACUAUGCCAUUGACAAAUAUUGGCUACCUGUACUAAGGUGAGCGAUAUAGGGCCAUUAUGGCCCUUUUGUUUUAAUUCUACCCUUAACAGAUUCAGGAAUAAGUUAACAAAUCUUGCAAAAAAAAAUUCUUAUUUCUUGUCCAUUUCGUUGCAAUUUUUGAAUAAUUGUAGUUCUAUAUGUAAUUAGAACACCAUUUAAAUUUCAUUAAUAUACCUUACGUAAAAAUGUGUUAAAUUUGAUGUCAAAAGUGAAUUUCCCAGCAGGAUUCUCAGGGUUUGUAAUUCUUAACUAAUAAAUAAUUUUUAGCCUUAUAUAGAAGCAAAAAAAUUGGUCCUGUCUGUAGCCGGGGUUUGAGUUUAUAACGCAACCUGGGUUUUACAUUCCAAGCUUUUAAUACUAUAAAGUAUAAAUGAUGUAAAUGAUGGCCUGAAACAUGAAAAAAAAUCAUGUUAUAAUUAACAAAUGGCAAUUAUAAUAACAAUUUAAAUAAUUCAUUGUAAUACAUAAUAAUAUGCAAUACAAUACAAUUACAAUUCAAGAAAAUACAAUUAAAUAAACAUAGAAUACAGCACUCACCAGUGACCUCAAGACUUAGUGUAGAAAGUGGCAAUUGGAAAAAAGCCUACUACCUCUCACAAGGUUUUACAAACAAGUGACCAAAUGUUGAGUUAUGAUUUAAAAUUAUAUAGAUGACAAUGAAAUCAUCUCACAAUAAAAGCAUGCACUGUUAGUAAUUAAACUCACUCAUACAUCACAAAGUAUCUCUCACACUGAACUUCUCUCAGUCUUGAUUGGGUUAGUAUUGUUAAAAGGAUUAGUGUCAGAGUGAAUACCCUGUUACAUACU